rnacentral:rRNA from 1 species
CUACGGGGGGCAGCAGUGGGGAAUAUUGGACAAUGGGGGCAACCCUGAUCCAGCAAUGUCGCGUGUGUGAAGAAGGCCUGCGGGUUGUAAAGCACUUUCAGUCGGGAGGAAAAGGGGUCGGUGAAUAACCGGCUUCCUUGACGUAACCGGCAGAAGAAGCACCGGCUAACUCCGUGCCAGCAGCCGCGGUAAUACGGAGGGUGCGAGCGUUAAUCGGAAUUACUGGGCGUAAAGGGCGCGUAGGCGGCCUGAUCAGUCUGAUGUGAAAGCCCCGGGCUUAACCUGGGAAUGGCAUUGGAUACUGUCGGGCUAGAGUUUGGUAGAGGGAAGUGGAAUUUCCGGUGUAGCGGUGAAAUGCGUAGAGAUCGGAAGGAACACCAGUGGCGAAGGCGACUUUCUGGACCAAAACUGACGCUGAGGUGCGAAAGCGUGGGUAGCAAACAGGAUUAGAUACCCCAGUAGUC